CCUACGGGAGGCUGCAGUGGGGAAUAUUGCACAAUGGGGGAAACCCUGAUGCAGCGACGCCGCGUGAAGGAAGAAGUAUUUCGGUAUGUAAACUUCUAUCAGCAGGGAAGAAAAUGACGGUACCUGACUAAGAAGCCCCGGCUAACUACGUGACAGCAGCCGCGGUAAUACGUAGGGGGCAAGCGUUAUCCGGAUUUACUGGGUGUAAAGGGAGCGUAGGCGGUUUAGCAAGUCAGAAGUGAAAGCCCGGGGCUCAACUCCGGGACUGCUUUUGAAACUGUUGAACUAGAGUGCAGGAGAGGUAAGUGUAAUUCCUAGUGUAGCGGUGAAAUGCGUAGAUAUUAGGAGGAACACCAGUGGCGAAGGCGGCUUACUGGACUGUAAAUGACGCUGAGGCUCGAAAGCGUGGGGAGCAAACAGGAUUAGAUACCCUUGUAGUC
rnacentral:rRNA from 1 species